rnacentral:rRNA from 1 species
UACGUAGGGCGCAAGCGUUGUCCGGAAUUAUUGGGCGUAAAGAGCUCGUAGGCGGUCUGUUACGUCCGCUGUGAAAACCCAGGGCUUAACCCUGGGCUUGCAGUGGAUACGGGUAGACUAGAGGCAGGUAGGGGAGAAUGGAAUUCCCGGUGUAGCGGUGAAAUGCGCAGAUAUCGGGAGGAACACCUGUGGCGAAAGCGGCGCACUGGACCAUAACUGACGCUGAGGCGCGAAAGCUAGGGGAGCAAACAGG